rnacentral:misc_RNA from 1 species
AAUAUACCAACAAUUCAAUCCAACAAAACGAUCAAAAUAAUGUCAAUUGUCCAGAGGAUAGAUAUAGUUUCUUCAUUAUUUCUCAAGAUCACAAAUUAAAACUAUGGAUGUCUCAUAUUCAAGGAUGGAUGAAGUUCAAAAGUAGUUACUCUUGUAGAAGUUCUUGAGAAAAUUGGAUACGCCCUGAUCCUUGGCGCCCAAAUCUUGCACAAGUCCUUCGCGACCAACCACAUACUGACCAAUGAUGUGAUGCCGUUGCUUUGCAUGUUCAGUAAUGUUACCAAGCUCUUCCAUUCCCUUGAAAAGAAGCAUAUCAAUCACCUUAGGGUCGGUGACGUGGGAAUUCUUGCGGAUCUCGGAGGCGAUCGUAGAACGGAGCUGAGAAACAGUAGCGACAUCAUCUAAGUUGUAAAUGUCCAUGAUUGCUGGCAAUGAUCUACAUGCUGAUCUGAAGAAGUCGAAGACUCGAUUCCGGGCUUCUUCAAGGCUCGCGGAAUUCGGCGGAACCUUCAGACCUCGAACCGUGAAUGCCAUUUUCUGAACUUUUCUUCUCUAUGCUUUCGCCGACUCAAUGAGCGAACUCGCUCGGCUAUCG